rnacentral:rRNA from 1 species
UACGAGGGGGGCAAGCGUUGUUCGGAAUUAUUGGGCGUAAAGGGCGCGUAGGCGGUGCGGCAAGUCUGAUGUGAAAUCUCCGGGCUCAACUCGGAGUCUGCAUCAGAAACUGCCGUGCUUGAGUGUGGGAGAGGUGAGUGGAAUUCCCGGUGUAGCGGUGAAAUGCGCAGAUAUCGGGAGGAACACCAAUGGCGAAGGCGGCGCUCUGGACCGUAACUGACGCUGAGGCGCGAAAGCGUGGGGAGCAAACAGG